rnacentral:rRNA from 1 species
AACGCUAGCUACAGGCUUAACACAUGCAAGUCGAGGGGCAGCGGGAUUGAAGCUUGCUUCAAUCGCCGGCGACCGGCGCACGGGUGAGUAACGCGUAUCCAACCUUCCGCAUACUCGGGGAUAGCCUUCUGAAAAGGAGAUUAAUACCCGAUGGUAUCAAGAGAUUGCAUGAUAACUUGAUUAAAGAAUUUCGGUAUGCGAUGGGGAUGCGUUCCAUUAGGUAGUAGGCGGGGUAACGGCCCACCUAGCCAACGAUGGAUAGGGGUUCUGAGAGGAAGGUCCCCCACAUUGGAACUGAGACACGGUCCAAACUCCUACGGGAGGCAGCAGUGAGGAAUAUUGGUCAAUGGACGAAAGUCUGAACCAGCCAAGUAGCGUGAAGGAUGAAGGUUCUAUGGAUUGUAAACUUCUUUUAUAAGGGAAUAAAGUCGGGUAUGUAUACCCGUUUGCAUGUACUUUAUGAAUAAGGAUCGGCUAACUCCGUGCCAGCAGCCGCGGUAAUACGGAGGAUCCGAGCGUUAUCCGGAUUUAUUGGGUUUAAAGGGAGCGUAGGUUGACAUAUAAGUCAGCUGUGAAAGUUUACGGCUCAACCGUGAAAUUGCAGUUGAUACUGUAUGUCUUGAGUGUACAAGAGGUGGGCGGAAUUCGUGGUGUAGCGGUGAAAUGCUUAGAUAUCACGAAGAACUCCGAUUG